rnacentral:lncRNA from 1 species
AUUGCAUAUAUGGUAUGUAUAAAUCCAACAUAUAAAGCUCAUAUACGAUAUGAAUUAAUUCGAUUUCAUCCACUAUACUAAACUCCAACAAUUUAUAAUAUUAAGGGAUUUUGUGGAAAAUGAAUUCGUCCACAUCAAAGAACAGCAUCCAUUUGGCUGCAAAUCUGUAUCUAUGCAACAGUAAAAUCUCCUCUCUCUCGCUUCCUUGCGUUUUCAGCCCAAAGCUUACAGUCUUCAUGCUCCUUUUCACCAAACCCAAUGUAGGCAUUUCUGGGCUAUUUCUUUAAUCCUUUGGCUCAACAGCUCAUCAGUCUCUUCUAAUAAUUAUAAUAUAUACACAGCCCCCCUUUUUGUGAACUCACUAGAGUUUAUAUAGAUUGAAUAACCACCAUUUUUAACAUGGAGAAGCUCAAAAAGUCCGUCAAAUCUCCCCAAUCCAGCCCCUAAAAAAAAAAAAAAAAGGAAUUCCAAAAUCUGCUUCUUCAUCAAAAGCCCAUCACUAUGGAUAACAGUAACAGUAGUGCUAACUCUACUACCUUCGCCAUCUAUGCCGCUGGUACCGGUAUGAUCCUCCAUCUCCUCCUCUCUGUCCCCUCCUAAAGACGUUAUCACUAAAAUCAACGGCCAAGAUUCCUCCAAGGAACCAACUAAAACCAGUGAGAAUAGACGCGGCCAUAGCCCCAGUCAGGGAGGAUUUUCAGAUCAACGGUAGAAUUGGGAUCUUCAUUUGGGAUCCACUGGCAUUGGUAGCUGGGCUUGCCGAAGACGUAUAGGGAGUUGGAACAAGAAUACGGAGGAAGAAAAUGAAUGAAUUUUUUUUUUUUUUUGUAUUGAUUUUUAAUUAUAUAUUUGUGAUUAAUUUAUAAUUUUUUAAAAAUUUGGGAUAACUGUUGUAAUUAGUUCUUUAUCCUCACAUUUCAUUUCUUCUUUUUCUUAUUCUUCUUCUUCUUCUUAUUAUUUUUUUAAAUUUAAAUGGUGGGUAAAAUCG